rnacentral:Y_RNA from 1 species
GGCUGGUCCGAGAGCAGUGGUAUUUGCAGCUAAUUGAUCACAACCAGUUACAGAUUUCUUUGUUUCUUCUCCACGCCCACUUCUUCACUUGACUAGCUUUAA